CUGGGAUUGUAGCUAAGUAGUAGAGUGCUUGCCCAGCAUGUGUGAGACACUGGGUUUGAUUUCAGCAUAUAAAUAAAUAAAACAAAGGUCCACUGACAACUAAAAAAAUAUUUUACAAAAAUGAUAAACAUGAGACAUGUUCAUCAUUUUUAUUACUUUAAAAGAAUUUAUUCAGAAGCAAAAAUAUUACCAAUGUGUUCUGGGUUUUACUGUAUGCAUAAAAGUAAAAUGAAUGAUUUUUGUGAGGUUUCUAUAACCGUACACGAAGUGGUAUACUGUUAUUUGAGGGCAGACUAUAAGAAGUUAAACAUGUGUAAACUCUACCUAAACCACUGAUGAGUGUAUAUUUUGGUGUUUUGUAUAAAGAGUUCGAACUAAUAAGCUAAUAGUGGGGAUGAAAUCAGGAAAACACUGAAUUCAAAAUGUACAAAAAAAUGAUACAAGCAGAAAAGGAGCAAAAUGGUGGAUUUUAAUUUAACCCUAUCAAUAAUUACAUGAAAAUGUAAAUAGUUUAAAUAUUUAAUUGAAAGACAGCCAAUUGAAUAAAAAAGCAAGACCUAGGUAUCUACUGUCAAUAAGAAACCCAACUUAUGACCAUGUGGCAUCGUGGGAAUACAUCAGCCCCAACCUGGAAUAGGAUCAUACAGGAAUUCAAGGGGCAAAGGAUCUUCACCUUUGCCCAGAUGACAAUUCCUCCUCAAAACUUCAGGGCUGCUUCCCCUCAUUACCCUAAGGGGGCUAGCUGUGGACCCAGCAGGACAGACAGAAGACCAGUGUUAGUGUUAGCUUGGGCUCCCUCUUCAUCUUUGCUGUGCAUUCUGGGAGCACUGCAGAGGACCCCCUUUUGGCAUCAAUGGGACAUCAUCUGAAAACAACAUUAUGCGGUAUAAUGCAGUUUUAUUUGGACCAGAAGAGGCCAACUUUGAAGAGGCUACUUUUAAAGUAACAAUAGAAUUUUCUGAAGAAUAGCCAAAUAAACCACCAUUUGGUUUUUAUCUAGAAUAUUUCAUCCAAAUGUAUAUGCUGAUGUGUUUAGACAUCUUGCAGAAUUGAUGGGAGUCUCCUGUCAGUAUAGUCUCUGGAUGAAUCAAAUCCAAACAGUUCAGUCAAUAGCCAGGCAGCACAUCUUCAUCAAGAAAACAAAAUGAGAAGUUUCAGCCAUAGUUAAACGAAGUUGGAAUCUACCAGGGUAGACAACUAUAUAUAGUUGUAUAUAAUUUGCAUCUCAGUAGAAAGGCUAACAAAUUUUAAAUGCCACAGGUUGUAAGGGUUCUGCAAGGAAAAAAAAAAUUCCUUCCUUUAGUUUGCUUGUAUUUUGUAAAUGUAUUGCUGUAUAAAUUUAUUACAUAUCCUGCUUGUAGUUUUUCCAAGUGUAUAAUGCUGGUGUGUUCACGAGAGUAUAUGCACACCAUUUUGUAACCUGUACUUUAAAAUAUUGUAAACCUUAUUUUCGAAUUAUUAGAUUUUUAAAUUGGAAAAAAGCACUUGUUUUUUAUAUUUGAAGCUGUUAAAAUACAUAACUUCAGCACAAGAGACUGUCACUUAUCUCCUUGUCUGUGUGAAAUGGAUUAAUAAAUGCCUCAUUUUCAAUCAUCUGA
rnacentral:lncRNA from 1 species